rnacentral:rRNA from 1 species
GGUAAUUUAGUAUGAAAAGUAGUAAAUUUUUGUACAAUAAAAGUGAACGUUGAGGUCCGUGUUGUAAUUUUAGUUUUUUUUUGUAAAUCUACAUGUAAGUUUAGGCUAGUAAAAAAGAGUUGUAAAAUAAAUUAGGAGAUUCUCAGUAGAAAAUUUUGGAAAUAUAUAAAAAUUUUAUCCAGAUAAUAAAAGAGAGGUGGAAAAUGGCGUGCCAGCAGCCGC